CUGCUGGAUGACACUGUAGCUACACCUAUGGAAAUGGCUCCUUCACCAGCUGGUACAGUUUCACGUUUUGUUCCUAGAGGACACUGGAGAGACAGCACAAGGCAGAGAAGAGGAAGGGCUUCUCUUCCAAGUUCAGGGCUCUAUUAAUCCUGCUUCUAAGGCACAGCUGCCAGCAGCUUGCAGAAGACCUAGUGGUGCUCACACCCCAGAGGGCUUUGUCAGCGUGCCGGCAGGAAGCCUCCUGCCCCCCAGCCGUUGGCAGACUGCAGAUGGGCCCUGACCCGUGACACUGCAGUGAACUUCUCCACCAUCAGUGGGCACAGCCGCAUCUUCGACCAGUUCUGACUCCCAACCUUGGAGGGAUGGGGAGGAGCCUUCCAAAUGUCUUCCUUCCACGGAUACUCUCCCUCAGCCCUAAAGGUAUUUUACUUCUAAAAUCACAGCCUCCGACUGAACACAGAGCAAAAACAGGAGCACCUGGCUGGAUGGACUUGUCACAUCCCAGACCUAUGGGUGAAGAGCCAGGAGCCUGAGGAGGUUGGACCUGCUUUCAGUUACUGGCAGAAUGAAUCAUCUUUCUUGGUCAUAACUCAAGCAGAGUGGGCAGGCUCCCAUCUCCAAGACCCAAAAUGGGGUGCAAACUACUGAGACAGGCCUGCCUGCCCAGGUGGCUCAGCGGUUUAGCACCUGCCUUCAGCCCAAGCUGUGAUCCUGGAGACCCAGGAUCGAGUCCCACAUCGGGCUCCUUGCAUGGAGCCCGCUUCUCCCUCUGCCUGUG